GUAAGUUCUAAGUCCCCCCCUUCAGUAUUCUCAUCCAUUUAGUUCACCUCCAUUUAUUCAGUUAUUUUGCAAUUCAUUAAAUGAUUAUCUGUUAGAGACAUACUCUAAUCAUUUUAUCUUUUCUGUUAUCUUUUCUGUUAUCAGUUACUCUGCACUGUAUAAAGUGUCAGAUUAUUUGGAUGCAGAGUAUGUGGGUUAAAGUUUUCCAAAAUGCUCA